GUUUUUUAAUCGACAAUCCACGUUAAUUUUCACUUUAAUUAUAAAUUUAUAUACCUCCAUCUAAAAAACUAAUUUAAUAAUAAUAUUUCAAAUAAAAUAUAAAAAGUUAGGUCAAGGUGUAAUUUACACUAAAGUAAAUAAUGGGUUACAUUAAAAAUAAUUUAAGGAUUUUCGUAAAAAUACCUUUUGAAAAAGGAUUAAACAGUAAUAUUAUAAUAAUAUUUUAUUAUG
rnacentral:rRNA from 1 species